UUGCCAUAUGGCGCAACAGUUGUAUGGGAUAUCUUAUGCCAUCCACCCCUCAAGCAACUUUCUAUGACUCAUGGAAUAUAAGUUAGAUAGGGAACUUCCACAUUUAUGGAACUGGAAGUCAAUGACAGAUGAAGUUCCUGUGCUAAGUUUUAUCCAACCAAACAAUAAAAAACCCAACAGUUGCAGGCUUGCAUCUGUUGAAGACCUUCAGAUUGAUGCUUAAGGAUAUGACAACAACUGAAACUUAUCACACAUCAUUUUUGGAA